rnacentral:rRNA from 1 species
GGGAUUGCCCUAGUAACGGCGAGUGAAGCGGCACCAGCUCAAAUUUGAAAUCUGGCCCUAGCGGUCCGAGUUGUAAUUUGUAGAGGAUGCUUUUGGUGAGGUGCCUUCUGAGUUCCCUGGAACGGGACGCCAGAGAGGGUGAGAGCCCCGUACGGUCGGCCGCCAAACCUAUGUAUAGCUCCUUCGACGAGUCGAGUAGUUUGGGAAUGCUGCUCUAAAUGGGAGGUAAAUUUCUUCUAAAGCUAAAUACCGGCCAGAGACCGAUAGCGCACAAGUAGAGUGAUCGAAAGAUGAAAAGCACUUUGAAAAGAGGGUUAAAUAGCACGUGAAAUUGUUGAAAGGGAAGCGUUUGCGACCAGACUUUUUCCUGGCGGAUCAUCCGGUGCUCUCACCGGUGCACUUCGCCAGGUCUAGGCCAGCAUCGGUUUCCUUAGGGGGAUAAAGGCCUGGGGAACGUAGCUCUUUAGGGAGUGUUAUAGCCCCUGGCGCAAUGCCCUUCGGGGGACCGAGGAUCGCGCUCUGCAAGGAUGCUGGCGUAAUGGUCGUCAACGACCCGUCUUGAAACACGGACCAAGGAGUCGAACAUUUGUGCGAGUGUUUGGGUGUUAAACCCUCACGCGUAAUGAAAGUGAACGGAGGUGAGAGCCCUAGGGUGCAUCAUCGACCGAUCCUGAUGUCUUCGGAUGGAUUUGAGUAAGAGCAUAACUGUUCGGACCCGAAAGAUGGUGAACUAUGCGUGGAUAGGGUGAAGCCAGAGGAAACUCUGGUGGAGGCUCGCAGCGGUUCUGACGUGCAAAUCGAUCGUCAAAUCUGCGCAUGGGGGCGAAAGACUAUCGACCUCUUAUUCCGCGCGC